GGGCCCGUAGCUCAGCUGGGAGAGCGCCGCGUUCGCAAUGCGGAGGUCGAGAGUUCGAUCCUCUUCGGGUCCACCA
rnacentral:tRNA from 1 species